rnacentral:misc_RNA from 1 species
GAUGAAGAACGUAGCGAAAUGCGAUAAGUAAUGUGAAUUGCAGAAUUCAGUGAAUCAUCGAAUCUUUGAACGCACAUUGCGCCCGCCAGUAUUCUGGCGGGCAUGCCUGUCCGAGCGUCAUUUCAACCCUCAAGCCCCCGGGCUUGGUGUUGGAGAUCGGCGAGCCCCCUGGGGCGCGCCGUCUCCCAAAUAUAGUGGCGGUCCCGCUGUAGCUUCCUCUGCGUAGUAGCACACCUCGCACUGGGAAACAGCGUGGCCACGCCGUAAAACCCCCCACUUCUGAAAGGUUGACCUCGGAUCAGGUAGGAAUACCCGCUGAACUUAAGCAUAUCAAUAAGCGGAGGA